rnacentral:lncRNA from 1 species
GCGAGCAGGCCGAGGAGCAGUGGCGGCGGGGAAGGGAUGAAGCAGGCCAGCAGGGAGAGGGGCGGCGUAGGGAGGACGGAGAGAAGAGGGGAGAGAAGGGAGCGGUGCCGGCGGCGGUGGGCGCGGCGGGGCGGCGCGGGCACGGUGGAGAGGGGAAGGGCAGGCCGGGCAGUGUGGAGACGACGAGAGGGGAAAGGAGAUGGAUUUGUUUUUUUCUUUUUUACUGAGAAGAGGAGAUGGGAAGAUAUUUUGCUCUGUCUCGCAUGGGUGCCUCAAGAGCCAGCAAGGCAUUCUUUACCUAGGGCUAAAAUUAACUCUAGGUAUAGUUUACUUCAUAUUUGUUUUUGAAUGCAUAUUCUCUUUACCUAGAGUUGCACUGUUUGCACCUCUACUUUACCUAGAAAAGAGAAAUUAGCUCUAAGUAAAGAGUUUUUGCCCUAGGGAAAAUUGCGUUUUCUAGUAGUGAAUGCAGUCUUCACAUCUAACUGCUCAAGCUCAAGAUCAUGCAUAGCAACAACAUCCCAUGUGCCAUUCUUCUCAAGAGAUUGCAUCUCCUCUUGCAUGGCAGACAACCACUUCACACGGUCGCCGGAAACAACUGCUUCAUUAUAUGGGGCUGGUUCACUAUCAUGCUCCACCUAUUCUGCAUAACUCAAAGCAUAAUAAACAAGAUCACACUCUUCAAUUAAACGC